CCUACGGGUGGCAGCAGUGGGGAAUAUUGCACAAUGGGGGAAACCCUGAUGCAGCGACGCCGCGUGAGCGAUGACGUAUUUCGGUAUGUAAAGCUCUAUCAGCAGGGAAGAAAAUGACGGUACCUGACUACGAAGCCCCGGCUAACUACGUGCCAGCAGCCGCGGUAAUACGUAGGGGGCAAGCGUUAUUCGGAUUUACUGGGGGUAAAGGGGGCGUAGAUGGUUUUGCAAGCCAGGUGGGAAAGCCCGGGGCUCAACCCCGGGACUGCAUUUGAAACUGUAGGUCUUGAGUGUCGGAGAGGCAGGCGGAAUUCCUAGUGUAGCGGUGAAAUGCGUAGAUAUUAGGAGGAACACCAGUGGCGAAGGCGGCCUGCUGGACGAUGACUGACGUUGAGGCUCGAAAGCGUGGGGAGCAAACAGGAUUAGAUACCCUAGUAGUC
rnacentral:rRNA from 1 species